rnacentral:tRNA from 1 species
UGUAUUUUAGUAUAUGAUGUACAAGAGUUUUUGAUACUCGUAGAAAUAGUUUAAUUCUAUUAAAUACAA